CUUUUCUAGGCUGCUGGAUCCUAACUCCUCUUUCAGGACAGUCAGCUCCUCCUUGGUGCUGAGACUUCUCUGAGGAAAAUAUCCUCCUGUGCUCUUCCAUGUUUUUUGCAAGAGCUCUGAUUAGGAGGAUAUCUGAAAUGCCUCCCCCUUCCUCUGUGCUGAAAUGAGCGCAAGAUGCAAGAGCCUUUCAGGAUGCCCUCCAGAGCGAUACAUCUAUAUGGACGCACUGUAUAAAGGAAAGCGUCAGAGAAGGCCAGACUCAGUCCAGGGGCCACCAGCCCCCUCUGCCACCAACAUCCAGUUCUCUUCUUUCCCGUGCUGGGCCCUCUUCUUGCCAGAUCUGCCUCGCAUUCCAGGAAAUCCUCGGUGCCUCUUCUGCCUACUGAAGCUCUGGAUUUCUCCUGCAUGAAUAUUUUGCCUUUUCCUGCUUCCAAGCGUAGUGAAUCCAAGCUUAGCCUUCUCAUAUGGUAUGGCCAAGGCCUGCUGGGAAAAUUGUUGCAAAUAGCUUUUGAAAUGCUUUCCAUGCCAUCUGGAGCGCAGGUUGGAGGAGAGCUUCUGACCCAGACCCAGCUCUGACUCCUGCAUCCGUGACUUCACCCCCGCUCCCCUUGUCUGCCGUCUUUCAGAAACAAGCCCCGUGCUGCCUCACUUUAUUAUGAAAUUAAAAUUGUUUCCGAAGACCUCAAAGGGGGAAAAUGAAACUGUUUUCAGCUUUGAUCGUGGUCGUAAUAAAACAGCUAUUUA
rnacentral:lncRNA from 1 species